GUGGAAGCAGGUGUGAAAGAUGUUUUAGACAGGCAGAUGGACAGGGAUGAAGAUGCAAUUUGUUUGGAUUAGCAUCGUGGUAGCAUGGACACUGGGCCAAAGGGCCUAUAGCUGUGAUUACUGUUCUCUAUUCUAGGUUAGUAAACGAGAAACAGUCAGUGUUUCAGUUAGGUUGAUACUGUGAUUUUCUUUCCAUAGAUGCUGCCUAACUUGCAGAUUUUUUCCCCAACAGAUUCCCAGGAUCUGCUGUUUUUUUUUAAAAAAAUUCAGUAGCAGCCUUUCACUUACUGUUGCACCUGGAUCUGCUUGAUUUGCAAAGAGAGGCCCAGACUAUAAGCUCGUCUCUAUAACUAUGACAGCACCACAUGAUGGAAAAGAUAAAAAUUUAAAACGAGCACUCCUGGAGGGUAGGUGAGUGACCUGUGGGAGAAAACUCAGCCGGAGAAGAUCUCCGCACCAAGCAUCAGACAGCUACAAAUUGAUUAGUUAGUCUGAGGAACUGCCACCAACCAGGCUCGAGAGACUAAUUAAAGAGAGCACUGCCUGCACAGAUACCCCAUUGACACCAAAUUUGCUCAGCUGUGGCCACGAGGGAGCCUGAAUUAUCUUAACGGCUGUGGUUUCUCAUGUCUGCCUCACAUUAUAGGUCUGGGAGCAGGGAUUUUGCGGUCUUUUGUCGGUGAGAGAUGAAGAGAGAAGACGCAAGUGGACAGAGUUGGUAGACCACCGGAUGGAGUAGACUUGGAGUGAGGGUCUGAAGGUCGGCAACGCUCUGAGGAAGUCAAUGAGAAACGACUGGACAAAAUCAUGAGCUCCAACAUGCACCUUAGACUGUCUCAUUAAAAUGUGCCCUUUUUCUUUAUAUUUCCUUUACUAUAGUCAUAUCAAGACUUAUAAAGUUCACUUGUUUAAUUGCAUAUGGUGCACUGUCUGAUAUUUUGCAGUUUAGAUUUAUAACCAAGAAACACAUCAUGCAACAUCCACACAAACAAGAUUUCUCAGUUUGGCUGGGCCAGAGGCUGUCUUUCCCUAUUCAAACGCAUGCCGGCCAAACCUAAAGAUUACAAUAGUUAGUUUUCAUGUUGUAAAUCUCAAGGCUACUCAGUCCUGCGUCACUCUCAUCAUUAUCAGAUGUUUCAUCAAUGGCAUGUGGAUUAGUGUUUUUGUUUGAAACUGAAACUUGGGUUUUAUCUUUUUCUCUUCCCUGUGCAGUUCGUUUACAGUUGUCUGCCCAACAUGCUCUUUGUAUGCAUCCUAAUUUGUUGCAUUUUCUGCAAGUUUUGCCUUUAAACCUCCAUUGGUCUGGUGUAUGUGAGCUCUUGGCACAACAGUAACACAAAUAAUUUAGCCAGGCCAAUUGCUGUGUAGACACUGCAAUUCUAUUCAUGUUCACUUAGAUUCAUGACUGCAACUCAAUUCCAUCUAUCUGCUAUUUCUAUUGGUAAAGCUAUUUCAACUGUUCUUUUAAAUGUAAAUUGUGCUUCAGUUACGAGCUGUUUAAACUAAACAACCUCUCAGUGAAUCAUUAAGCCCAUUACUGAACUGACUAUGCUUGGACAACUUCUUGAAUUCAAGCCCUGUACACUGAAGUGGGCUACCCUUCCUUUUGAUUCCAAUUAUGAAACCUAAAGCAUUUUGCAAUCAAAAAUGGUUUUGGUUCUAAAUGUUCCAGCAUUACCUUCAUGAUAUCAGCAAAGCUCAUUUCAGCUGGUUUGCUUUGAACCAUCAAAUUUCUAAACAAACUGAUUACCUUUAUACCCAAUGCGCUCAGGAAAACUGGUACUGUACUUGUUUCUCAUUGGCUAUUCUGUUUGCUUUAAAAUACUGCUUGAUUCACUCAGUUUAUAAUAUCCAGUUAUCUCUUAUCCAAUCAAAUGCAUCUAUCUUUCCAACAUAGCCAACCAUUUCUGCUUUUUUUAAUUUAUGUUCAUUAUCACCCAGUACUCACUAUUUAUGAACCUGUGAAUUUGUCUAUUUUCUGCUUUUAAAUCAAACAUCACCUUUUCUGACUAAGCACCUGCUGCACUGUUUUAUUUCAACUGUUUCUCACUGUACUUUUUUAAAAAAACUCAAAUGUCCCACUGAGCUUCAGUCAUCUGAGUAGCCCACUGAGUAGUUAUCUCAGAUUAUUUUAAAAUUUACUUGUCACCACUGUUGUGUCCUGUAAUUCCAAAACAUAAAAACUCAUUGAAAGGAAAAUGUAGAGCGAGCAGUAAAGUGUCUAUAUUUUCGUUUUUACUUUAAGUGAGGAUGUGUUUUACAUAUAACCUGUAAUGAAUUAUUUAAACAAACAAAAAUGCUUAAUCAAACUAUAUAUUUACAAUAUUACUAAAAUAUUAAAUACAUAACACAUCUAAAAGGAUAUUUCUAAAUCUUGGAGUUAUGAAUUCUAACCAUGAAUUUUGACAGAGUAUGUAUUCUGCCAAAAACCUUUGCAUUAAAACCGACAACUUUUGCCAAUUUCCAGACCAUUGAAAGAUCACCAGCUAAAAAAACUACCACAUUGGGUAAAUUUUUAUGCACCUUGAAACAGAUUUUAAGUUGAAAAUAAAUCAUGAGAUAUAAAAGUC